AGACAUGCGCGAUAGUCAACCGAAUAUUAUCACAUGAUCUAAAGCCGACGCCUUUGACCACUAGCCCAACACAUUUAACAAAAGUAGAAGUAUGAACAAAUCAUAUACUGUAUACGGGACCACAUUUCAAUUCCCUUCGUUACCAAAUACUAGUACUACAUGGGCACAAGUUGAGACCUUGGCUCGGCUCUCUCCCCCGCUACAGUAGGAGAGGCGAUUUUUUCCCCUUCCCCGUUCGAUCUAGUUCGCCGGCGGCGGCUCGCUGGUUUCCCCCCCUCUGCCGGCCGCUUCGGCGGCGGGAGGGUGGGGAAACCUCGGUUCCCGUCUGUACAUAGCUAGGAUGGAGUGGGUGGUUCGCCGGCAGCGCCGUGGAGAGGAAGGCGCUGUCGGGUUGGUGGUUUGUGGCGGCGGUGAUCUUCUCCGGUGGCGGGGUUCUGCGGAAUCCGACCACUUCCCCGCCUCCUUCCUGGUGCUCGUAACUCGGCGGAGUUGCCGUGCGCCUUCUUCCCGUGCCGGAGUCCGUAGGCGGCGGCUCCGGUUGUUGAAAGUUUGGAAGAUGCAGGUGAUGAGGUCCAGAUCGAAGGCGAUGGCGACGAUGCAAGGUGGAGGCCCUUUGGGUUCGAGGUCCGUUGACUUCCCGACCGCCAUGGGACUCCGUCCGAUCCAAGGUUGUAGAGGAGGAGCGGCGGCGGCGCGCCAGCGGCACGUCUUCAUCGACGGCGGCGUCUUCCUUAUCCUUAAGGACUUGUUUGUAAUUGUCUUAUCUUUUGAGGACUGUUCUGUAAGGGUACUGGAUUAAUAUCACUUGGUCUUUCCCGCAAAAAAAAAAAUACUAGUACUACAUGUACAAUGGCAAAUCAACCAAACGACAUCCUUAUCUACCUUUUUUGAAUUUUCCUCACCAACACCACUGUUCCAAAAAAUGGGUAAUGAGAAAACAAUAUUACAGAAAAAAUCAAUCCUAUCACAAAAUCUUGUGAUUUCCUUCCAUUGUAUCACUCGGCGUCGCCUGGC
rnacentral:lncRNA from 1 species